GACGUCGAUAUUCGACGUCAUAAACACGAACAAGUUUGGUGUUUAUGAUGUCGAUAUUCGACGUCAUCAACACGAUCAACUUUGGUGUUUAUGACGUCGAUAUUCGACGUCAUAAACACGAACAAGUUUGGUGUUUAUGACGUCGAUAUUCGACGUCAUAAACAUGAUCAACUUUGAUGUUUAUGACGUCGAUAUUCGACGUCAUAAAGACGAACAAGUUUGGUGUUUAUGACGUCGAUAUUCGACGUC
rnacentral:miRNA from 1 species